UGAAAAGAGGUUUCAAGAACAAAUAUACUGUCUCCCCCCCGAUAUUGUGUGCAUGGCACUUUCGGAUCACCCAAACGGGGAAUUCGUAUCACCGAAAACGAAAAAGGAAUUCAGGGUGGAAGCCUACCCGAGUUUCAUUCCCUUCAUAGAUAGAAAAAAAUUAACUUCCCAUCCAUAUAUUUUUGCUCUUGUUUGCCAC